CUUGUUUGUUGACGUCAAUUCUGUAAUUUUCAGGAACUUUAGCAUACGUCUGUGCCUUGAACAGGCAGGCAAACAUCUUGAUGCUCUGAAACACUGCAAAUAAGUGUUGCCAUGUGCAAAGAGUUGAUGAAGAAGAUGAAGACUGUCGAUGAGGAGAUUGGAGACUUGAGUACUUUGGCUCAGAAGAAGCUUAAAGUUCUAACUGAUGUUGUUGAGAAGCUGAGGCUGAAAACCGCUAGGCUCUGGGUUCGUGCUAGGGAUGUUGAAGGAGAAAGAGAAGAGGAACCUGCUACCUUUUUGGCCAAGAAGAGGAGGCUGGAAGAUGUGAUGUCUUUGACCCGUGUGUUUGGCCCGUGAAUCAGAUACUUAGUAGUCAAAAAUAGAAGAGAGAGUUUAUUUUCUUUUGUCUCAUCAACCCAACUGUUCAUGCAUAGACAUAGACUUCUCUGUUAAAUAAUCUAACCUAAAAAAAAAGCAAAGACAAGACUUGAUUUUGCCUUGUCUUAUCAGCGAAAUGUGUUCACUGUAAACUAGAAGUCGUAUCUUUUGAGGUCCCAACUAAAAAAAGUAAUUGGGUUUGAUUACUAAUUCACCGUUUGUGUUCUUUUCCUAACUUCACCCAAUAACAAUUUCAAAUCAUAAAUAACUCUUAUUGACAGACUAACCAAUUUAUUCACUCUGAGUUGAAUUAGUACUUUAUUCAAGACUGAUAGAGAUCCAUAUUCCUUUGUAUAGAUAGACCUUUGUUGUUUCGUUGUAAACAUUUUCCUUUGAGUGCUCAAAUAAUAUUUUUGUAGUCCCACUGGUGACAAUUAAUCUUUGUGCUAAAUUUGAAUACCAUCGUUUCAAGAAUCUAUUGUCAGUGAGAAUCUUUGUGCUAACUUACAAUAUACCAUCGUUUUGUUGUAACCAAUUGUUCAAAUAAUUUUGUCACUUUAUAUAUCAAACGAAUAUUAGGGAGAUCUCAAACAACUCAUCAUGCGUGAUUCUUAUUAAUAUGAUUAUGGGUGUAUACAUAGGAAAAAGACUAUUUGAUCAAUAUACUACGUAACAGGCUAUUGGAUCAAUAACAGUAGAUUCUUUAAUUUAACUUCUUCUUCUUUUUUUAAUUCUAAAUUACACAUUCUUAUACAGGAGAGUGGUCACUCUCCCUCGAGACUGGAGAGCAGGUCAGACUGUGACAAUAUAUCUCUAGCUAGACCACCAGGGUAUCAAAUCAGCACCUUAAAAAAUAUCCCAACUUUACUUUUCGCAAGAGAACAAUGAACAGAAGAUAUCCAAUAACAAAUUAAUACGAAGAUUAGAAAAUAGCAAGGUGGUUCUAUAUAUACAUUUUUUUAAAAGAUUUUUUCCUUAAGUCAAUAUGCUUUCUACCUUAUCGAAACAAUCAUAAGCUGCUAGCGUUUUAGCAAAACCUUUUUAUUUUUUUUGAACAAACAAAACCUUUAUAUCUAACCUAGUAUUUGUGUGUUCGUCGAUUUUUGAUUGCAUGUCAAUGUCAUGCAAUUUUCUUGGGCUCCUUAACAUGUUCAGUAUGUUUUUAGCAUUAUCUUAUACUGAAGUUUUUUAUAUGUCAACCUUACAUUCAAGUUACUCACCUAUUUUCACAGAAACAUAAUAUAUAUGACCGAUGAUUGAUGAGAGGUCAUGUGAUUAAGAUAUACAAUGUAUUGAGUUAUACAUAAUAUUGAUAAAAUAUGUUUACAUAUCUAAUAUAACAAUCAACCUAAAUGCAAAUAACAAAAUUAAUCAAAAAUAUAAUUUAUUUUAAACUUUAAUUUGGAGAAGUAGAUAGAUUUGGACAUUCGGAUCUUGGGGUCUGGUUUGGUUAGUGCAUAUCGGGUCCGGAUCUUUCGAGUCCUAGACAGUUGUUCCUAACUAGUCCGACUAGGUAUUUAAUAAUUUUCAGUUCGGUUUGAUCCCUUUCAUGUUCGGGUUGGUUCGAGUCCAUAAGUAAAAUACAUGUAGUCUAUGUUUUCCCAAUUGACACUCUUCAACUUGCAUCCAUUUAAGCGGAAUCUUGGAGAAAAGCUAACGAAAAAGAGGAAGAGGACAAGGAUCAUGAGGACCCUCCUACUUCAGAGGUUCAGACAGUGCCCCCUUGGAUAUUUCGAUAUGUACCUGCCAAAUUGAUACUUCAUUGAUUGAUAAUAGCAAUGUAGUGGCUUAGGGUGGGGUUUUAAAGAUCAAAUUGGUUCGAAUCUUUCGGAUUACGGGUGUGCAACAGAAGCCUCUCAGAGAUGGAAAGUUUAUUAUGGGCAACUCCAUGCAUGAGAGACAUGAGGAUAACCUCGAUCCGGUUCCAGACAAACUGAUUAGAUCUAUUGGAUAUGACUGGGAACCCGAUGGAUUGGCCAGCAUUCGCGUCGAAAAUUGAAUUGUUCCAUAGACUACAGGAGGACUUCGAGACCGUGAACCUGACUCAUAUUCCUCCAAGUAGGAAUGGUUGGACGGAUGCAAAGCAAGAACCAGAGGUUGCAUUUUCUCCCAUAUAGAUCAAACAUGGACAUGCAGAAAUGUUCUUCGGAAAAUCGGUACGUUUGACCAGCACGUGAUCUAGUUUAAACGGGAAAGAAAUAAGAGAAGGCAUGGAGAGCAGCAACAUCCAUAUAGUCUGUUGAUAAAGACAAUUGAUAAGACUGUGACGAACAGAUUAUCUACCAUUAGGCGCCAGGGUGAUCAAAAGAUGGAGGAGGGCCUUAGAAUUUGGUUUGGAACAAGAUGAUAUGUAAAGAGGAGUUUAUACUUUCUUUAUCAUUCUAACUCAUAGUUACAUCAUAUGUAAAACAGUUUUUUGGAUGAAUAAAAUUUAACAUUUAUUCAAAAAAAAAAAAAAAAUUCUGGUGGACAUGCAGUACAAGCCUUAUAGCCUGUUCUUCCAAUCCCAGUCACCACCCUCUUAAAAUUUUCUUUGCAAAAUCCUAAACAAAGCAGAGAAGAGAAGGAAUAAGUAAAGGUGAACACAUCAACACCACAUAAAUGUAAGAUACGGAUGGAUAUUGAACACCAAUAACAAAGGCAGGAAAGGUUUUAUACAAACAAAAACAUUAGGCAAUGAAAAGAAACUAAUCUUUGAUGAAGAAGCAAAAAAAUCAUUAGUAACAUCCAGUCCAACCAAUCUGCCUCGUUUUCUAAAACUGCACACUAACUCUGUAACAAUCCAAUUCAAGACCCGAAUUGAUCAUAAUGCUACAGCUUCCCUCAUAGUCGAAACCAAACCGAAGCUGACUUUUAAAGGCACUACCGAUUGUAUCCACCACAUAGGCAAAAGUUGUAAAUUUUUACAUCGGCGCCUCUAUUAUUUAGCAACAAUCGGUAUAUGAAUCGAAUCUAAGAAGCUGAAGAGGAAGAAGGAAACUUACUUCUCGUUGUGAUUGGAAUCCAACAAAAGCUCUCUGAUCCCGCAGUUGAAGAAGAAGAAUAUAAUGAAUCGCCGAUAACCGGUGCUAUAAUGAUCUGGUUUAGCUAAGCCAUUUCCCAAACCGGUAAGUCAUAAAUAAAAUCCAAUGCAGAGUCAGUCAGUUAGUUAGUUGGUUAGUUAAUUACCAAGAUUAAACAAAAAGUUAAGAAGAAGCUUAAUCUUUUUUUGUUUUUUUGUUUUUAAGCUUAAAAGCACAAACUAACCUUUUUAUUCUCGCCUCGUCGUCGUCUCUCAGACUUCUUCGUUUCUUCCGUCAAAUCAAAAAUGGUAGACACCGUCGAAGCUCUCAUCGAACAACUGAUUGAUAGAGCUUCCGGCUGGGCUCAACUCGGGUACUGGCAUAUAGGUCAAGAGGAGGAUAUUCGUCAAGCUCUGGAACUAAGGUAGCUUCAGAUUUAGGGUUUUGACAUUUGAGAUUUUUUCUGGUUUCAUAGAUCUAAGUUUCUAGGAGUGAUUUACUUGAUUGAUGUGGUUUUUUAGUGUGGUGAAGACUCUGCUGAGAGUUUAGCGAUAUAUCUCAAAAAUGGGAAGCGUUUGCUUGAGGCGUCUAAAGGAGAGAUUGGCGAACGUGAACGAUCUGUUCUUGUUGAUUUAGCAUGUGAGAUGCUCAAAUCUGCAAGGAAGAUUGUUCUUCUUGGGAGAAGAAAGCUCUUUUCACCAAAAGAAAUAAGUUGAGAGAGUCAUAACUUGGCUUGGUGACAGCUUAUUUGUCUUGGCUCUUAAGAAUUUUAAAGAAGCUCUGCAGAUGCUUGAGCAUACCUCCUUCUCUCCAAACCAGGCUAAGCUGUAUGCUCUUUUUACUCUUGUUUUAUCCAUGUUUGUUUGUGUGUGCUUGUUUGUUGACGUCAAUUCUGUAAUUUUCAUAUGUCUGUGCCUUGAACAGGCAGGCAAACAUCUUGAUGCUCUGAAACACUGCGAAAUAAGUGUUGCCAUGUCCAAAGAGUUGAUCAAGAAGAUGAAGACUGUCGAUGAGUACUUUGGCUCAGAAGAAGCUUAAAGUUCGUGCUAGGGAUGUUGAAGGAGAACGAGAAGAGGAACCUGCUACCUUUUUGGCC
rnacentral:lncRNA from 1 species